rnacentral:lncRNA from 13 species
GAAAGACAUUGGAGAAAGCAUGCCCACAACUUGUUGUCUGUGUUUGAAGCUAAAAUUCAGUCUCAGUGAAUUGGAUAUCUUUCAAGAUGGAAAUUGAUUCUCAUAUAUCUUUAUGUCUGGCUCCUAAGAGGUCUCAAUAAAUGUUUGUUAAAUACAUGUACGCCUGAAUGAAAAAAAUGUGUAAUGCUUUCCUAAGCCAAGACACUUUAGCUGAAAUGUCUCGCUCUGUCACUCAGCUGGAGUGCAAUGGCAGGAUCUCAGCUCACUGCAACCUUCACCUCCCAGGUUCAAGCAAUUCUCUCACCUCAGCUUCCCAAAUUCUUAUGGUAUAACAUGAUUGCCAGAAACUCAAAGAGAAAAGUAUUUAUUAUAAUUACUGUCAAAGAAAAACAAAGCUGGACACUGAAGUGUCAUAGACAGUCCUUCUAA